CAACGCUCAUAAAUUUGACAGCAGUACCUUUAGCAACACUUGUUGAUGUGCUUGUGAAAUGGCACAGUAUCCAUACCCGGUGUACUUUGAUUUACCUCACCUCAGUGAAGGACAUGGGGAUAAGAUCAAAAAGUACUUCCAGAUCAAGCGAAAGUCCGGCGGGGGGGACUGUGGACCGCUGGACAUUUUUGCGGGCGACACUUAUAUGAUUGCCUUCAAGGAACAAGAAGCCCAGGAGAGGGUAUUGAACAUCAAGGAGCAUGUUGUUACUUUGCCUAGCGGUGAAGUUCGGUUCUCAGUCAGGAGCAAGGCCAGUCCAGCACCCGGCAACUCGAGUGCCUCUCCGCAGCUGAAUGAUGACACUCACAGUGCACCUUUGGGUAACCAGCAGGAGAAAACUGUAUCUCUGGAUCCCUACCUCUUACAGUACCUGAAACACUGCCCUCAGGCAGGAAAAAAUCUUCAGGUUCUGCUCUCUCCGGUUUCCUCCUCUUUUGACCUUCACCCAGAAGAAGAGAAGGUGGUGGUGAGAGGAGUGGCCAAGGAGGGGCAGACAAGUAAAUGGGAAGCCCUGAUAGAUGACGUAUUUGAAAAAAUAAAGAGGAAAUACAGUUAUCAUUAUGUGUCUGACCAGCUGAUGCUGGAGACCCUUACGAAGAGUUCGAGCUUUGGUUCAGAGGAUGUUCAGGUGUACAAAGAACUAGCGCAGGGAUUUGCAGUGAUAGUUGGAGAGGCUAAACACGUUCAAAAAAAAGUGCUGUCAUUGGAAGUGCUAUUGCAGAAGCAAGAGACUAGGAUGCAGUGCAAGGUGUCAGAAAUGCAGUACCACUUGGUUGAGAAACAGUUUGAAAAUGAAUUUAGGUCUCAUCACCCAGCUGUGAAGGUGACCAGGGAGGGGCCAGAGCUCCUGGUCCUGAAAGGACCACAUGCUGAGGUGCAGGAG
rnacentral:lncRNA from 1 species